UACGUAGGGGGCAAGCGUUGUCCGGAAUCAUUGGGCGUAAGCGCGUGUAGGCGGCCCGAUAAGUCCGCUGUGAAAGUCCAGGGCUCAACCCUGGGAUGCCGGUGGAUACUGUCGGGCUCGAGUCCGGAAGAGGCGAGUGGAAUUCCUGGUGUAGCGGUGAAAUGCGCAGAUAUCAGGAGGAACACCGAUUGCGAAGGCAGCUCGCUGGGACGUGACUGACGCUGAGACGCGAAAGCGUGGGGGAGCAAACAGG
rnacentral:rRNA from 1 species